GUAACGGCGAGUGAAGCGGUAACAGCUCAAAUUUGAAAUCUGGCUCCUCGGGGCCCGAAUUGUAAUUUGUAGAAGAUGCUUUGGGUCUGGGCCUGGCCUAAGUUCCUUGGAACAGGACGUCGUAGAGGGUGAGAAUCCCGUAUGCGGCUGGCGCCCGUGCCCGUGUAAAGCUCUUUCAACGAGUCGAGUUGUUUGGGAAUGCAGCUCUAAAUGGGUGGUAAAUUUCAUCUAAAGCUAAAUAUUGGCCAGAGACCGAUAGCGCACAAGUAGAGUGAUCGAAAGAUGAAAAGCACUUUGGAAAGAGAGUUAAACAGUACGUGAAAUUGUUGAAAGGGAAGCGCUGGCAACCAGACUUGGGCGCUGUUGAUCCGCUAGGGUUCUCUCUAGGGCACUCGGCAGCGCGCAGGCCAGCAUCGGUUUGGGGGGUUGGAGAAUGGCGGGUGGAAUGUGGCUGUCUUCGGGCAGUGUUAUAGCCACCGGUGGCAUGCAGCCUCCCCGGACCGAGGACCGCGCUUCGGCUAGGAUGCUGGCGUAAUGGUUGUCAGCGACCCGUCUUGAAACACGGACCAAGGAGUCUAACAUCUAUGCGAGUGUUUGGGUGCUAAACCCAUACGCGGAAUGAAAGUGAACGUAGGUGAGAACCCGCAAGGGUGCAUCAUCGACCGAUCCUGAUGUCUUCGGAUGGAUUUGAGUAAGAGCAUAGCUGUUGGGACCCGAAAGAUGGUGAACUAUGCCUGAAUAGGGUGAAGCCAGAGGAA
rnacentral:rRNA from 1 species